UGAUCCUGGCUCAGGAUAAACGCUAGCGACAGGCCUAACACAUGCAAGUCGAGGGGCAGCGGGGGAGGUAGCAAUACCUUUGCCGGCGACCGGCGCACGGGUGAGUAACACGUAUGCAAUCCACCUGUAACAGGGGGAUAACCCGGAGAAAUCCGGACUAAAACCCCAUAAUAUGGGCGCUCCGCAUGGAGAGUUCAUUAAAGAGAGCAAUUUUGGUUACAGACGAGCAUGCGCUCCAAUAGCCAGUUGGG
rnacentral:rRNA from 1 species